CCUACGGGGGGCUGCAGUGGGGAAUAUUGGACAAUGGGGGCAACCCUGAUCCAGCCAUGCCGCGUGUGUGAAGAAGGCCCUCGGGUUGUAAAGCACUUUCAGUGAGGAAGAACGCCUGGUGGUUAAUACCCAUCAGGAAAGACAUCACUCACAGAAGAAGCACCGGCUAACUCCGUGCCAGCAGCCGCGGUAAUACGGAGGGUGCGAGCGUUAAUCGGAAUUACUGGGCGGAAAGCGCGCGUAGGUGGCUUGAUAAGCCGGUUGUGAAAGCCCCGGGCUCAACCUGGGAACGGCAUCCGGAACUGUCAAGCUAGAGUGCAGGAGAGGAAGGUAGAAUUCCCGGUGUAGCGGUGAAAUGCGUAGAGAUCGGGAGGAAUACCAGUGGCGAAGGCGGCCUUCUGGACUGACACUGACACUGAGGUGCGAAAGCGUGGGUAGCAAACAGGAUUAGAUACCCCAGUAGUC
rnacentral:rRNA from 1 species